UGGGGAAUAUUGCACAAUGGGCGCAAGCCUUAUGCAGCGACGCCGCGUGGGGGAUGACGGCCUUCGGGUUGUAAACUCCUUUCGCUAGGGACGAAGCUUUUUGUGACGGUACCUAGAUAAGAAGCACCGGCUAACUACGUGCCAGCAGCCGCGGUAAUACGUAGGGUGCGAGCGUUGUCCGGAAUUACUGGGCGUAAAGGGCUCGUAGGUGGUUUGUCGCGUCGUCUGUGAAAUUCCGGGGCUUAACUCCGGGCGUGCAGGCGAUACGGGCAUAACUUGAGUACUGUAGGGGUAACUGGAAUUCCUGGUGUAGCGGUGAAAUGCGCAGAUAUCAGGAGGAACACCGAUGGCGAAGGCAGGUUACUGGGCAGUUACUGACGCUGAGGAGCGAAAGCAGGGGUAGCGAACAGG
rnacentral:rRNA from 1 species